CUUGAAAGCUGGCGGCAGGCCUAACACAUGCAAGUCGCACGAGUGGCGGACGGGUGAGUAAUGUCUGGGAAACUGCCCGAUGGAGGGGGAUAACUACUGGAAACGGUAGCUAAUACCGCGUACCAUCGGAUGUGCCAAGAUGGGAUUAGCUUGUAGGUGAGGUAACGGCGCACAUAGGAGACGAUCCCUAGCUGAUCUGAGAGGAUGACCAGACACACUGGGACUGAGACACGGGCAAGACGCCUACGGGAGGGAGCAGGUGGGAAUAUGGCACAAUGGGCGCAAGCCUGAUGCAGCAAGGCCGCGUGUAUGAAGAAGGCCUUCGGGUUGUAAAGUACUUUCAGCGGGGAGGCGUUACCCGCAGAAGAAGCACCGGCUAACUCCGUGCCAGCAGCCGCUGUAAUAC
rnacentral:rRNA from 1 species